CCCCUCCCAUGUUUGUUCACAGAUUCAGCAAUUUGUCUUUUACUUUGGAGGUAAUGGCCAGUGGACUCCUAAAUAUUUCACUGUACUAGCAGGUCCUGAGUCUUUGUAGAGUUCAUCUUCCACCCUUUGGAGCAUGUAUCUAACCAAGGCUUCUAGCAUACUGGCCACCUCUUCCUCUUUUGUCCAGUCAUCAUGAUUUUAUUGAUGUGAUGAAUCAGGGUGGUGUUCUGAGGGACUCAUAGGUGAUUCAGACCUUUUCAGACAAAAUUAUGGCAAAGGGUAAGAGUGUUACCAUAGCCCCAAGACAAAAUCGGAGAUCAAUAUUAUUGUCUAUUUCAUCUGAAUUCAAACCUUUUCUGAUCUUCUUUCCUAAUUGGAAUGGAAAAGAAUAUGUUGUCCAAAUCAAUGGCUAAAAACUAGGUACCUGAAGUUUUAUUAAUCUGCUUAGCACAGUAUCACAUCUGGCACAGUAACUAUAAUCAUCAGGUUUACUACUUGAUUAAGUCUGUAAUAGUACACAGUUAUUCUCCAGGACCCAGCUGGUUUCUGCACGGACCACAUUGGUCAUCAUGAGUGAAGUCUUGAGCCACUGAGCCACUACCACCUUGUGCCAAAUACUAUCUGUGCCCUGCCUGCCAACCAGGAUGACAACCCUUCACCUGCCAGGUGGAGAGAGACAGCAGCAGGCUAACUAGUUGUCUGUUAAGAACAUCCAGAGCAGGACCAGAAUCUGGGCCAGGAACUGAGAGACAGAUUGGGACAACGGAACAAAUCUACCAGGGUAUGCUGGCCAACUUAGUCUUCUAUUAUGAUCAAGGAAGGAUGGCGCCUGAGAGGUCAUUACUAUGUGACUGGUCUUCAUAUAUUGCUUCUAUGUUUGAUUCUUCCUCCAGAAAUGUUUCAAUAGCAAACUCAAUGAGUUUACGUAGCCAGAAUCUUAGUCAAUAACCUACUCUGCAGUAUCUUAGGGCUGACUUUGUACAUAUGGAAGUCAGCCAGAUCUCAUGAGUGGAUCAUUAAGCUAGAAUUAUUUUCUUGGCACACGUUACAGUAAGGUAAUAUAUGACCUAGGCCUAAGGCAGGCCAUCAACCUGUCAAGAGUAAUGACCCCCAGGGGUAAGGCCUUGCUGUCUCCACCUCAAGGAUGGGUCUUCAAAGUGGAGACAAUAUAGUCCCUAUGGUUUCUACAUGCUUAAUGAGUCUGUUAUGUGAAUUAUAAAGAUAAUAUCUAUGGGGACUUUGAGCUCCUACAAUAAAAAUGUAUAAAUAUAAUCCAAGAAAUUCUGGUAGACAAACAUUGUAAUAAUGCAUAUCAGUCUUUGUAUCUCCAUUUAGUUUUUUUAAAACUUGGCUUGUGUCCAGAAGUAUGCACAGAUAUACAUAGCAAAUGCUCAGUGCUGAAUGUUUAGCUAAAUCCUGUGCUUCAAAGCAAGGAUGAAUAGAUUUUCAUCAGAGCUCAGGACCUGAACUGUAGGCUUCCCUCACAAUGAGAAGUAAAGCUAAGUAUAGGUGAAUCCUGAGUGGCACAUAUUCUAUGAGAGUUUUAUACAUAAUUUGAAUGAUUGAUAUGCUGCAUCUUUCAUUGAAAUGAUUGUCAACCAAUAUUAUUUCAAGUGUUAUUUCCAUGCUAUUUCUAGUUCUGUAUGUUUUACGUAAUUAUAAAUGGCUUCAUAUUUUCAUGUAACAUUGUAUGAUAUGAUUUGGGUUCUAACAGGUUAUCCUUGACACCAGUAUAGAAUACCCAGAAUUAAUUUAAGGUAUAUUAUCAAACCACUAAAAUUAGGAUGUCCAUGAAUUCUGAAGGAGAAAAUAUCAUUUAGAUUGUGUGUGUGUGUGUGUGUGUGUGCGCGUGUGUGUGUGUCCUCUAAGUUUUAAACAUGAGGUGGUUAUAUAAAGGGGACUUCUAAAUUGGGAGAGGAUGAAAAUGGGCUAAAUAUUUCAAACAAACUUCAGUGUGAAAUCAGUAGUAUAUUCAGUAGAGGUGACAGGGAAAAAAGCUGUGGAGGAGAAAAGAGAACAAGAAAAUCAGGAAGCAGUAAAAAUGAUGACUGAGGUCAGGUGGUAAUGGUAACAUCAAGAAACUUGAAUCUGAUGGAAAAAAACCACGGGUAGCUAUAAAAGGGGCAUUCGAAAUAGGAAAUGAUGUGAGAGGAGAAGAUAAUUUUAGUAUAGUUAAAGGAGGUAGCAGCUAUAGGUGUGAAGAGAACGGAUUAAUUUUAAAUGUGUCCCAGAAGUAAGAGAAAUAUUUUUUUGAGGAGUGGGGGAGGAACAAUGAGAUAAACCUGGUUGAGUGUUUUAUGGUUAUCUCAAGUAAGAGUCCACUUGGAGUAUUAUGUCCAUUUUUGGACACCAUACUUUCAUAGGCAUGUUGAUGAACCAGGUCAUUCAAGACACCAGGGUAGUGAGAAGUGUGUUAAUAGUGCUUCUACCAGAGAGUUAGAGUGACAUGGCAGCUGUCCUCAUAUCUAUCGAUCUGUCAUAAGGAAGAAAGAUCACAUGCCUCUGCAUUGUUUAAAAGAAAGAAACAGACCCAAAGAAAGUCAGGAGGCAGAUUUUGCUCAAUAUAAUGAUCUAACAAUUAGAUGUGCCCUGUAACAGAGUGCGCUAUUGUAAAGUAAUGUUCUCCCAUCUUUCCAAGUAUUCAAGCAGAGAAUAGUCAAUAAUACAACUAACGACUGGAAGGGUUUCUUUUAUUCUAAGGUACUAUCAGAUGGAGGAACAUGUAGUUUGUGGUCAGUGACCUCAGGUUCUCACAUUCACGGUGCUGCAUCCUGGUUUUCAUUUGGGGACUGUUUUCUGGCACUCCCGCCUGUCUGGAGGUGAGAUAUGCUUGUUAUGACAACCCUUCUGUCACAAUAAAUUGGCUGGUGCAUUCAGUGUCAUCUAUGGCUUUUUACUUCUAUUAAUUCAUUAAUUCCGGGCCCCCAAGCGAAAGUUUCCAAAGGCCUUUUUUCUUCUUUGUUAAUUAUAACAUGAUAUCAAUCAGCACCCAAGCAGAAACUAGAAGAGUAUUCAAACUAGGUAAUUUGAGGAGAGUUUAAUAAAGCAACAGCUUACAAAGAUGUGGACAGUGGCUUAAGGAAGCCACUAAAGGAUGGCACAGUCCUCCAGGCUUGUGAUCAGGGGAGUCAUUACCAUCCCCCAGCCUGAAGAUCAAGAGGCUGGAGCUAUUUCCAGACCCUGAAGAGGGUGGUUGUAUGGAGAGGACUAUCUGAAAGAAGAGGCUGUAGCCAACACAAGAAAGCCAGGGAAUAAAUAAUCCAUCCUCACUCUCCUGCUGUUGCCUCUCAAUGGCCAAACCCAACCAUGAGCUGGGCAUGAAGGGAGCUAGCUGACAGCUAUAUGGCUCAGCUUCCUGGGGCCCAGAGCAGAGUGGAGCUGAGAAGAGAGUGAAUCUGGAGGGGUUAAUGGAAGAAACCACAGAAAGCAAAUUCCUCCCUGAGAUACAGUUGGUGCUUAGGCAAUAUUUGUACUGACAGGAAUGUGGCCACAUAUUUUGGAAAAGCUCAGGGACUCAAUCCUCUGCUAGCUGCUUUGAGGCCAUGUCUGCCGAAGUCACUGUCCUCUACAGGGUUUUUUCCUCAUGUUCAGUGUUUAGUCCUUUCCACCUUCACGAAAACGAUGCCUACUUAAUAUACAGAAAGGAGGACAUACAGAAAUUUUUCAUCUUAAUUGGAUAUUACAGUUGCCCCACUUUGGAGCCAAGAAGAGCUGAAUAAAGCUGAGAAACACCUAAACAGAAAGGAGCUCUGGAGGGAAGCAUUAGAUAUGGCUCUUAACCUCAGGGGGCUUACAGUCCAAUCAGGAGACCCAAUGCAAAUGGAACAAUGAAUCAAGAUACUAUCUAACAGGACUAGACCAUGCCAGUAAGUGCUGUAGGAGUUUAAAGAUGAAGUAGCUCUUUGAGGCUGCAGUAGUCUGUUGAUGGUGCUUCUCUCAGGAGGUCCCAGGAGGGGUGACUGUUCUUUCUGGAACAUGGUCAUGGGAAAAUCCCUCAUACCUACUUUAAGCCAGUAAAAGAGAAUGUCCAGAAAGGCCAGGUAUUUGGAAUUGGACCUAAGUGACAGGCUUCAUAUACAAAUAUGCAUUGGUUUACGGACAAUUGUAUAGUUUUUUUCUUCACUGCCACCUAAACCAUCAUUAUCAGCACUUGAGUCCUCUGUGACCAUCACUGCUGUCCAUGGGCAGUAUGCACAAGUGGAACAAAGCCAACGCCUCAACUGUGAGACAGUUUGUCUCUUAGGGUUAGGGAAGAUGAGGGCUAAGGGUGGAGGGAGAAGGUACAGCAUGGCGAAGCUCAUCAUAGAUCCCUUGGAACACUAUUCCUACUGAUUUGUUACUCCCUUUUCUCCCUCCAUGCUUUGUCUUUCCCUGUUACACACACACUGUUAUUCUUCAUCUGUCCGCAGCCCAGUCAUUGGAACUUGGAUGUAAGUGGCUUCUACAACCAAGUGAGGCAGAGAAAUGGGCAGCAGUGAUGACUCUAUAAAGACUUUUGUCCUUUCAUUCAUUCAAGGUGGUGUACAACCCAAAGAUGAACACAUGACCCUUGUCCUCAAGCAGCUCAAUCUGUGAAAACUAUCAUAUGAGUUAAUGUGGUAACAGAAGCAUGCGCACAAAGUACUCUGGAACAACAGGCAGGGACCAUUUAGACCUGCUGCAGUGUGUGUGUCUGUGUCUGUUUAUCUAUGUAUUAUAUGCAGGCAGAUUGUGAAAAAAGACAAGUUUCACAGAGGAGAUGAUACAUGAUCUUUUCUAAUUCACUGAAGCAUACAGCUAUCAAAGGCCUGAGGACUCUUGAAAGAUGAGCAAAAUUUCAUCAUGCAGAGAAGGGAAGUGUAAAGACAGGAAACAGCAUGUGAAAGGCAUUCUAUUCUAUUUAAAUCUAGGAAUACUGUCUUUAGGAUGUUCUUGGCUGAUUAAAUCAGAUGCAUCAUCAUAUUAUACUAUCAUGAUUUACCAAUACUGGUUAUUGCCUAGAUUUUAUCCAUGGACUCUCCAUUGGCAUCAUUAGUGAUGAGAGCUGGAAGCUUGAGCACACCCUGCCAUAAAGUUGUUUGUAACAGAAGACAUAGUUUGUACUUUGUUUUCUCUGUUUCAGUUUUGGUUUCCACCUCUAAUUUGAUAUAUACCAGUUAUUAAUCUGGUUGAUUUGCUACAAAUGAAAAGUUUAAAAAAUUAAUGACAAUCUAUACAAAACUCACAUAAAACCAUUUGAGUCUCCCACUAGAUGGCACAGGAAGAAUAUGGCAUAUCACCUAAUUCUCAGGCUAGGCUAGAUAGAAAAUGUCUAUUCCUAUGAUCACAUGACUCUGACUACUUUCUCUUAAAAGUAAAUAUAAAUAACAUCUCUGUAAUUUUAUUUUUUCUUUAACAAUAAUUUAUCUUAAAGUAGACAGAAAAAUGCAUGUGGUUUAAAAUUCAUAGUAAAUAGGAGAAUAUUAUAAAAGUUUCUUAAGGCCAGGUGCAGUGGCUCAUGCCUGUAAUCUCAGCACUUUGGGGGUCCGAGGCAGGCGGACCAUGAGGUCAGGAGAUUGAGACCAUCCUGGGCAACAUGGUGAAACCUUGUCUCUACUAAAACUACAAAAAUUAGCUGGGCGUGGUAUGCUCCUGUAGUCCCAGCUACUUGGGAGGCUGAGGGAGGAGAAUCGCUUGAACCCGGGAGGUGGAGGUUGCAGUGAGCCGAGGUCGUGCCACUGCACUCCAGCCUGGCAACAGAGUGAGACUCUGUCUCAAAAAAAAAAGUUUCUCAAACCAUUUUUAACAGAUUAAAACAAUUCUUUUUUUAUCAAACUAUUUUUUUCAUUAAUUCUUAGUAGUCAAUAGUUCUGUUAUUGUGACCCUGGAAGACAAGGCACUGUCAUCUGUCUCCUACAGAUUUUAGAGCAAUUAAAAGUGAAGCAAUCCAUAUUCAUUGAUUAAGAGGGAACUAUCAUGUAACCUGGGUAAGUCAGUCCAUAUCACUUUAAGAACGCUAAACAGUAUUGCUCAAGGUUAAAAAAAAAAAAAAAGGAGAGAGAGAGAGAUCUAACACCAUUCUUUAACGCCUGGCCACUAAACUAAUGACCAUCAAUGACAGAACCUGCUUAAUCCCCAUAUAAUUAUCCAAUAUAUUGAAUCCUAAUUUUUUUUGCUCUUCACCCCAACCUUGCCCAAGUGCCAGUGUAGCUCUACUUUAAGAAUAUCAAUAGAAUGUGAUUUUUCACAAGCUGCCAUAAGUAAAUGGUGGUAAGCCAGAGUUAUAAUCUGAAAAUGCAGCUAGUUUUUUGGGGGGCACAUUAGGACUCAAACUUCCUAAAACUCCUACUCCUGAGUUACCUGGAGAAAAGCUACAGCAGAUGGGCAUCCAGUGCUUGGAAGGGCUGCUUGGUCCUCAAUACAGGGCCCAGUAAAUAUAUCUUUCAAUUAAACUCCAACCUUUGAUGUAACUGGUAUCGUGGUGCCACAAGGAUUCUGUUCAAUAUAUAUUUACUGAAUACCUUCUUUGUGCAACACUCUGUGCUGGACCCUGGGCUAGCUUAAACAACCUGAUUUGAUUCAUGGUGGGCAGCAGAUAAGAAGGCAGAAUUAGUUCACCCUCAUAAUGGUCUUUUACUGCAGCAAUGGCCAAUAAACCACCGAGUUUGCAACACCAGAACCCUAAGGGCACACUUAGCUUGAAUCAGAGUGUCUCCUGGCAAUCAUAACUGAUAUUCAAUCAGAGUUCCCACUGAGUAUAGAUGUACUACUUGACUCCAUUCCAAUAAGUGCAGCAAGCUGGAGCAGAAAAACUAAUCUUUGCUGGGUCUCUCAACGCAUGAUUUUUCCUACAUUGUGCAACCCUUAUAUGCCUUUCGUCAUUCAUUCCUAUCAGAAUCUCCUAGAGUGCUUAUUUUAAUGCAGAUUCCCAGGCCCAAUGUAGAUCACUGUAUCACAUCUCUGUGAUACAGGAGGCCAUAGUGAAAACACAAAUGAACCUGUUGCCAGCCAUCCAUGAGACCACCACGGAUGCCCCACACAUCGCCAGGGUGAUUUGAGGGCCUCAAGAUGUGAGUUCCUUAGCAUGGUUGGGGGCCAGAGACGCCACAGUUUGAGCUUUGGCAUUAAUGUGCUCUUCCUUUCUGUUGCUUAUCUUAGGUAGGAACCAGUUGACAAGUGUCCUCUCCCAGCACAAGGAACUGACUCUGGGCACUGAGUAUAGAUUUUACUUAAAAAAAUGUACAAUUUUACUUACAGAAAGUUACUCAGCUGGGAUGUUUCACUUCAUCAUUAAGGUUUUCUUGUUUUCUUCCUUCCUUCCCUUCCUUCCUUCCUUCCGUCCUUCCUUCCUUCCUUCUUUCCUCCCCUCUCCCUCCCUCCCUCUCUCUUCUUUCUUUUUCUUUCUUUCUUUCUCUUUCCUUCUUCUUUUUCUUUCUUCUUUCCUUUCUUUCUUCCUUCCUCCCUCCCUCCCUGCUUGCUUGCUUUCUUUCUCUCUCUCUCUUUCUUUCUUUCUUUUUUUUGUAAGAAACAGGGGUCUCUCUCCCCAGGCUGGAGUGAAGUGGCACACAAUCAUAGCUCACUGUGGCCUCAAACUCCUGGACUCAAGAGAUCUUCAUGCAGUCUUCCCAGUAACUGGGAUUACAGGCACGUGCUACUGCACCCAGCUUUCACCGUAUAAGUUAAUUGUUAACUUCACAUAAGUUUUAAUACCUGCAAAAAUUAUGUGACUCUUCCAGAUUCCAAUCUUUUCUAAUUUGCUAAAGCAUACAGCCAUCAGAAGUCAACAUGCAGAGAAGCACUAACACGGAGUCUCUGCAUGUCUUGAUAAAUGUUGCUUUGAUGCAGAAUUCAGUUUGGGCAACUUGUGUAGAAGGAUGGUCAGAAAGUAAUUUUCUGUUUGUUGGGGUGUGUGUCUGUGUGUGUGUGUGUAUGUAUGUAUGUAUGUAUGUAUAUGUAUAUGUGUAUGUAAAGAACACAGGUUCUGCAAUUAGUCCAGUGUUGUUGUUCUGGGAAUUUAAAUGUUUUCAUUCUCAAAGCAGUUCUGCUGAGUAGAAAUUUUCACGUUACCCCAUUAUACAGACUGAAAACCUGAAGCUUGAGUAGUUUGCCCAAGGUCACAUAGCAAGGAAGAUCACAAGGCAAAGGAAGAUCUUGAACCCUCUAAAGUUCACGAUGUUUCCAUUAUGUCAUGCUUGUAAAAAACAUGAAAAGAAAUGUUUAUAAUAAAAGAUAUUAAGUGAUAAAACUUCCUUAACAAUUUUCUCCUUUGCAAUAUCAGAAACCUCCAGCAGGCUGUACCCCUGAAUCAGUUUUCUAAUUGAAGCCAUUAAACAAUGAUUU
rnacentral:lncRNA from 1 species